AGUGAACGCUGGCGGUAGGCCUAACACAUGCAAGUCGAACGGCAGCACAGUAAGAGCUUGCUCUUACGGGUGGCGAGUGGCGGACGGGUGAGGAAUACAUCGGAAUCUACUUUUUCGUGGGGGAUAACGUAGGGAAACUUACGCUAAUACCGCAUACGACCUACGGGUGAAAGCAGGGGAUCUUCGGACCUUGCGCGACUGAAUGAGCCGAUGCCGGAUUAGCUAGUUGGCGGGGUAAAGGCCCACCAAGGCGACGAUCCGUAGCUGGUCUGAGAGGAUGAUCAGCCACACUGGAACUGAGACACGGUCCAGACUCCUACGGGAGGCAGCAGUAGGGAAUCUUGCGCAAUGGGCGCAAGCCUGAUCCAGCCAUGCCGCGUGAGUGAUGAAGGUCUUCGGGUUGUAAAGCCCUUUUGUUGGGAAAGAACAGAAGUAUGUUAAUCUCCCGCUGUUCUGACGGUACCCAAAGAGUAAGCACCGGCUAACUUCGUG
rnacentral:rRNA from 1 species